rnacentral:misc_RNA from 1 species
GUAGGUGAACCUGCGGAAGGAUCAUUAACAUGAUGCUAUACCAUCCAUUUUUCACCCCACUUUUCGUACGAAUAUUAAUAUUAAUGAAUUUCUACUAUUUUUUACCCCCUUCUUUUUACAAAUCAUCUAGACUGAUAUUAUACACAUAAUCAAUAACGCUAAAACAACUCUUAGCAACGGAUAUCUUGGCUCUC